GACGAACGCUGGCGGCGUGCUUAACACAUGCAACUCGAACGGUGAAGCGCCUUCCUUUUUGGUGGGUGUGGAUGAGUGGCGAACGGGUGAGUAACACGUGAGUAACCUGCCCCCUUCUUCUGGAUAACCGCAUGAAAGUGUGGCUAAUACGGGAUAUUCUGGGUCUGUCGCAUGAUGGGUCUGGGAAAGAUAUUGUUUCGGUGGGGGAUGGGCUCGCGGCCUAUCAGCUUGUUGGUGGGGUGAUGGCCUACCAAGGCGGUGACGGGUAGCCGGCCUGAGAGGGUGGACGGUCACACUGGGACUGAGACACGGCCCAGACUCCUACGGGAGGCAGCAGUGGGGAAUAUUGCACAAUGGGCGCAAGCCUGAUGCAGCGACGCCGCGUGAGGGAUGGAGGCCUUCGGGUUGUGAACCUCUUUCGCCAGUGAAGCAGGCCUGCCUCGUUUGUGGGUGGGUUGACGGUAGCUGGAUAAGAAGCGCCGGCUAACUACGUG
rnacentral:rRNA from 1 species